AAGACCUUGCGCUUUUGGAGCGGCCGAUGCCUGAUUAGCUUGUUGGUAAGGUAAAAGCUUACCAAGGCUUCGAUCAGUAGCUGGUCUGAGAGGACGACCAGCCACACUGGGACUGAGACACGGCCCAGACUCCUACGGGAGGCAGCAGUGGGGAAUUUUGGACAAUGGGGGCAACCCUGAUCCAGCCAUGCCGCGUGAGUGAAGAAGGCCUUCGGGUUGUAAAGCUCUUUCAGCCGGAACGAAACGGUUACGGAUAACACCCGUGACUACUGACGGUACCGGAAGAAGAAGCACCGGCUAACUACGUGCCAGCAGCCGCGGUAAUACGUAGGGUGCGAGCGUUAAUCGGAAUUACUGGGCGUAAAGCGUGCGCAGGUGGUUUUGUAAGGCAGAUGUGAAAGCCCCGGGCUCAACCUGGGAACU
rnacentral:rRNA from 1 species